CCUACGGGUGGCUGCAGUGAGGAAUAUUGGUCAAUGGGCGUACGCCUGAACCAGCCAAGUCGCGUGAGGGAAUAAGGCCCUAUGGGUUGUAAACCUCUUUUGCCAGGGAGCAAGGCCGGCUACGUGUAGCCGGACGGAGAGUACCCGGAGAAAAAGCAUCGGCUAACUCCGUGCCAGCAGCCGCGGUAAUACGGAGGAUGCGAGCGUUAUCCGGAUUUAUUGGGUUUAAAGGGUGCGUAGGCGGGAUGGUAAGUCAGCGGUAAAAUUGCGGGGCUCAACCCCGCUCCGCCGUUGAAACUGGCGUGCUUGAGUGGGCGAGAAGUAGGCGGAAUGCGUGGUGUAGCGGUGAAAUGCAUAGAUAUCACGCAGAACUCCGAUUGCGAAGGCAGCAUACCGGCGCCCCACUGACGCUGAGGCACGAAAGCGUGGGUAUCGAACAGGAUUAGAUACCCUAGUAGUC
rnacentral:rRNA from 1 species